UGGGAUACUUAUCACUUUCGCUUAGCCACUGAAAUUGCUUCCAACAGCUAGUAUCCAUCGUUUACGGCGUGGACUACCAGGGUAUCUAAUCCUGUUCGCUACCCACGCUUUCGUCCAUCAGCGUCAAUCCAUUAGUAGUAACCUGCCUUCGCAAUUGGUAUUCCAUGUAAUCUCUAAGCAUUUCACCGCUACACUACAUAUUCUAGUUACUUCCUAAUAAUUCAAGUUCAGCAGUAUCAAUGGCCGUUCCACCGUUGAGCGAUGGGCUUUCACCACUGACUUACUAAACCGCCUACGGACCCUUUAAACCCAAUGAUUCCGGAUAACGCUUGGAUCCUCCGUAUUACCGCGGCUGCUGGCACGGAGUUAGCCGAUCCUUAUUCUUACGAUACCGUCAAGCUCCAACACGUUGGAGUGUUUCUUCUCGUACAAAAGCAGUUUACAAUCCAUAGGACCGUCAUCCUGCACGCGGCAUGGCUGGAUCAGGCUUGCGCCCAUUGUCCAAUAUUCCUCACUGCUGCCUCCCGUAGGAGUCUGGUCCGUGUCUCAGUACCAGUGUGGGGGAUCUCCCUCUCAGGACCCCUACCCAUCGUAGCCUUGGUAAGCCGUUACCUUACCAACUAGCUAAUGGGACGCAUGCUCAUCUUUCACCGUUGUGACUUUAAUUAUUAAGUGAUGCCACUCAAUAAUACUAUGAGGUAUUAAUCCAAAUUUCUCUGGGCUAUCCCUCUGUGAAAGGUAGAUUGCAUACGCGUUACGCACCCGUGCGCCGGUCUCUAGCUCCGAAGAACUAUACCCCUCGACUUGCAUGUGUUAAGCCUGCCGCUAGCGUUCAUCCUGA
rnacentral:rRNA from 1 species